UACGAACCGUCCAACCGUUAUUCGGAUUCAUUGGGCUUAAAGGGUACGUAGGCGGCGCUAUCAGUCGGGUGUGAAAGCCCUCGGCUCAACCGAGGAACUGCGCCCGAUACUGUAGUGCUUGAGGGAGACAGAGGUAAGCGGAACUGAUGGUGGAGCGGUGAAAUGCGUUGAUAUCAUCAGGAACACCGGUGGCGAAAGCGGCUUACUGGGUCUCUUCUGACGCUGAGGUACGAAAGCUAGGGGAGCGAACGGG
rnacentral:rRNA from 1 species